GAGAUUCCCCCAGUAGCGGCGAGCGAACGGGGAGGAGCCCAGAGCCUGAAUCAGCAUGUGUGUUAGUGGAAGCGUCUGGAAAGGCGCGCGAUACAGGGUGACAGCCCCGUACACAAAAGCGCAUGUGCUGUGAGCUCGAUGAGUAGGGCGGGACACGUGGUAUCCUGUCUGAAUAUGGGGGGACCAUCCUCCAAGGCUAAAUACUCCUGACUGACCGAUAGUGAACCAGUACCGUGAGGGAAAGGCGAAAAGAACCCCGGCGAGGGGAGUGAAAAAGAACCUGAAACCGUGUACGUACAAGCAGUGGGAGCACCCUUCGGGGUGUGACUGCGUACCUUUUGUAUAAUGGGUCAGCGACUUAUAUUCUGUAGCAAGGUUAACCGUAUAGGGGAGCCGGAGGGAAACCGAGUCUUAACCGGGCGUUAAGUUGCAGGGUAUAGACCCGAAACCCGGUGAUCUAGCCAUGGGCAGGUUGAAGGUUGGGUAACACUAACUGGAGGACCGAACCGACUAAUGUUGAAAAAUUAGCGGAUGACCUGUGGCUGGGGGUGAAAGGCCAAUCAAACCGGGAGAUAGCUGGUUCUCCCCGAAAGCUAUUUAGGUAGCGCCUCGUGAAUUCAUCUCCGGGGGUAGAGCACUGUUUCGGCUAGGGGGCCAUCCCGGCUUACCAACCCGAUGCAAACUGCGAAUACCGGAGAAUGUUAUCACGGGAGACACACGGCGGGUGCUAACGUCCGUCGUGAAGAGGGAAACAACCCAGACCGCCAGCUAAGGUCCCAAAGUCAUGGUUAAGUGGGAAACGAUGUGGGAAGGCCCAGACAGCCAGGAUGUUGGCUUAGAAGCAGCCAUCAUUUAAAGAAAGCGUAAUAGCUCACUGGUCGAGUCGGCCUGCGCGGAAGAUGUAACGGGGCUAAACCAU
rnacentral:rRNA from 1 species